AGCCCCGUAGUGCAGCGGCCCAGCACGACUGGCUUUGGACCAGUAAACCGCGGUUCGAAUCCGCGCGGGGCUA
rnacentral:tRNA from 1 species